GCCUAGCCCUGAUAGUAAUGAAAAUCCUUAUAGGCCAGUGUUUGGACUAUAAGAUUGUAAUGAAUAGCAGGACUUAGC
rfam:Flavobacterium frigoris PS1 66_4, whole genome shotgun sequence.